rnacentral:rRNA from 1 species
CAGCUGCGAUAAGUAGUGUGAAUAGCAGAAGUCAGCGAAUCAUCGAAUCUUUGAACGCAAAUGGCGCUCCCUGGUUCUCCAGGGAGCAUGUCUGUCUGAGCGUCAUGUCAAGUACCUACACACACUCGUGUUGUUCUACGGCGCUAGUGUGUGGCGUUGAGACAUCACGGCCAUUCACAGUUAGUGAGUGACUGCGUGUCUUUAAGUGAAGUAUCACGGCUCCAAACUCGUGCAGUCGAGCGAGAGCAGCAAAACGUAAUUGCCCUAAAAAGCACUACCAUACUGCCUGCCUCUCCUCUCAACGACGAACCUUUGAGGAAGUGAUAAUACCUUUCGACUUGUGACAACCUUUACGAGUUGCAUGUUGAAAACAACAACUUGAUUUCUUUCUUGACGAUUUCAAUUUGUGAUUUUGACCUCAGAUCAGGCAAUACUACCCGCUGAAUUUAA